GCCAGCAUAGCGGAGUGGUUUGAGUGUUGGACUAUGACUCGAGAGACCAGGGUUUGAUUCCCCGCUCUGUCA